rnacentral:lncRNA from 1 species
CCUCCUGCAAGAGUUGUGGCCAAAAUUCUAGGGUUAGUCUCUCUAUGCCUUUCUCUCUCUAUAAUAUUUGAUAUUUUUUAUUUUGAUUUUGCAGUUUAUUUGAAGGUAGAAGUAGUUAAAACUUAAGAUGCUCGAAUUAAUCGCCAAUGGACGCUUUCGCCAUUUAUCUUCUCCCGUACCACCAAAGGUGAGUUGCUUUGAUUUCAUAGUAGGAUUAGAUUAGAUCGCAUACCGCAAAGCUUAUAUAUCGCUUUGAUCUUUUUGUUUUGCUUUUCCCUGUAAGUGAAUAUGUAUGUUCAAA